rnacentral:rRNA from 1 species
CGCCCCCGCCCGCUACGGGAGGCAGCAGUGGGGAAUUUUGGACAAUGGGGGCAACCCUGAUCCAGCAAUGCCGCGUGAGUGAAGAAGGCCUUCGGGUUGUAAAGCACUUUUGUCAGGGAAGAAAUCGGGACUGGAUAAUAUCCAUUCGUAAUGACGGUACCUGAAGAAUAAGCACCGGCAAACUACGUGCCAGCAGCCGCGGAAAUACGUAGGGCGCAAGCGUUAAUCGGAAUUACUGGGCGUAAAGCGUGCGCAGGCGGUUUUGUCAAGUACAGACGUGAAAUCCCCGGGCUUAAACCUGGGAAUUGCGUUGGGAGACUGCAAGGCUAGAGUCUGUACAGAGGGGGGUAGAAUUCCCACGUGUAGCAGUGAAAUGCGUAGAUAUGUGGGAGGAACACCCGAUGGCGAAGGCAGCCCCUGGGACAACACUGACGCUCAUGCACGAAAGCGUGGGGAGCAAACAGGAUUAGAUACCCUGGUAGUCCACGCCCUAAACGAUGUCUACUAGUUGUCGGGUCUUGAGCGACCUGGUAACGCAGCUAACGCGUGAAGUAGACCGCCUGGGGCG